rnacentral:ncRNA from 2 species
UACAAUCACUAGGGGAGUCCUGACGGACUGAGACGGCGCAGCAGAGCGCCGGACCCUUGGAACCUGAUCUGGGUUAUUCCAGCGGAGGGAAGUGGGAUGAAGCAUUA